CCUACGGGAGACAGCAGUGAGGAAUAUUGGUCAAUGGGCGUAAGCCUGAACCAGCCACGUCGCGUGAGGGAUGAAGGUUCUAUGGAUCGUAACCCUCUUUUAUAAGGGAAUAAAGUGUGGGACGUGUCCUAUUUUUUAUGUACCUUAUGAAUAAGGAUCUGCUAACUCCGUGCCAGCAGCCGCGGUAAUACGGAGGGUCCGAGCGUUAUCCGGAUUUAUUGGUUUUAAAGGGUGCGUAGGCGGCCUUUUAAGUCAGCGGUGAAAGUCUGUGGUUCAACCAUAGAAUUGCCGUUGAAACUGGGGGGCUAGAGUAUGUUUGAGGCAGGCGGAAUGCGUGGUGUAGCGGUGAAAUGCUUAGAUAUCACGCAGAACCACGAUUGCGAAGGCAGCCUGCCAAGCCAUGACUGACGCUGAUGCACGAAAGCGUGGGGAUCAAACAGGAUUAGAUACCCGAGUAGUC
rnacentral:rRNA from 1 species